rnacentral:misc_RNA from 1 species
UUUGUUUGUCUCAGAUUUUGCGUGUUCCCCGUCCACUUGUACAUCAUGUAAGUGGACAAUAUUUCACAAGCUGCAUUGAAGCGAUUCUACCGUGAUAGGUCAAUUGGGAUACCAUUCAUGAGAUGGAAGAGUGUGUACGUUGCAUGGCAAACGGAAAAUUGGUUUUGUCAAAUGUCAGACGGAUCUUCAAAAACAAAAAGGGGUGAAAGGCCUGUGGAACCAUGGAUAAAAGUAAACACAUUCAGCAUGGUGAGAAGUCAAAACAUUUACUUGCUCUGUUCUUCUGAUUUUGUGACAAACAACUCAGAAAAGGCUUUCUACAACUGCGUGUGCAUAUCUGGAUAUCAGUGGAAAUUAUCUUAAAACCAGCGAAGCAGCAAGCUCCACCUUGGACAUGGACAUCACUCCUUGCACGGCAGCUCAGCAACCAGCGGUCCGGCAAAGUCACACAACAAACAGGACAUUUAAUAUCGCCACACCAAUUAGACCAGCAAUAUAUUCAAUUCUCGCCAAUUUCCCCUCGAAAAAACCUCACUGGAGAUGGCAUUUCACGAUUGCCAUGGAGACGCGUGGCAACAACGAAAUGGAAUUGUAAAUGCGAUAUAUCGCUCUCCUGCAGAUGACUCACGUGUUCCUGCGCGACAAGACCCAUUGUUACCUUCUAAGUGCACCUUGCAUAUUACCCACAAGGCUAGGGAUUUCAACUUGAAAGGUUCUGGUGGAGCGGUCUCAAGAUUGGAAGGAUUAGGGCAAUUUCUUAGAUGACGGAGAUCCAUCAGGAGUGUCAUUAUUGAGCCUGCAACAAUGUCCCCCGUCGAUGAAAUCCACCUGGUGUACUACAAGUACAGUUGGAGACAUUCAUGUCGGACAAAAGGACUGUAUGAACGGUGGAAUAGUACAAGGCCCUGCAUUUACAUGUGCACAACUUUGAAACGACUGGAUGAUAUGCUUCAAGAAUGAGAGAAAUAGUUUGAAGUUCUGCUGUAGCUGUGGGGACUGUGAGCUACUCAUGAGGAUUUUACAGGGGCUUUCAUCUGAGGUGGAAGUCCGGAGAAACGUGCGUCGUCUAAUUGUGUCUGGAUUGUUUUCAAAAGUACGUACACUGGAAACAAGAUUCCAGGCCCAGGGGGGGUCGAGUGAGUGCCCGGAUUCCGGAAUUGUUAAAAGGUUAUCCCGUUUAUCUUCUAUAAUUAAAUGUCUGCUAGAGUAGUUCCCUCCAUUUACCGCGUCCGUUACUGAAUCCCGCAGAAUACCCCCGGCAGAAACCAACAGCCCUGUGAGAUCGAAGGAGUAACCUUUUAAGCUGUCCCAAACGCCAUCGGGGAACAAGUGCUCCCCCCCAAAAAAAAAAUUAGAUUAUCAAAUCAGACUCUGCAAACAUUGGUGUAAGGCACACGUGACGUUGUCCAUGAUUACAAGUGGGUAUAUACAUGUAUGCGGCCGAGUUGUUUGUGUUUCUUCAGGGUUUGUGAUCAAUCAAAGAAAUGUCAACAUGAUAUGGAAGUCAUCUCAGUUUUAACCAGUUCAAUAAAUCAACACCACACUUGAUUGGAUUAUUAAAACUCAAGCAGUCAAAUCUCCCAACUAAAGUCAUCUUUUUUUUCUUUUUUUUAACAUUUCAUGUUUUUAUUAUUAACGACUCUACACUAAGUUUGAAAUUUUUCCACGACUACAUUCAAUUAUUUCCUAACUAUGCGUGGGAUGCAUAAAAACUUGAACACAGAAAACAUCCAUCUUGCUUGACACAUUCUCCAAAUCCUCUUGCAGCUUUCAUCUUUUUCUCUUCAAUUCAGACCCGUGCAUUUACUUUUUUUGACAGAGAUGCUCCUCUCGACGUCUUUCUCUCCGUAAUUUCCAAUGCCUGGAGGAAUCUCUCUCCUGCUCGGCUGUGCUUGCUGAAUGGAAUCAAUCCCAACAGGUGACAACUGACAUCCUAACAAUUCACCGGCUUUUAUCAAUAUCGUCCCGAUGAUGAUGAAGACAUCCCGCAGGGGGGGAGAGAGAGAGCAAGACGCAACCAUCAACGGCGAGCUCCCAAUUAGUGUGACACGGACGUCUCUGAUAGACCUGGCAGAGGAUCGGGAGGGAAGACGAUACACGGGCUGGGGAAUACGGGACAAGACUGGAAAGAGUGGGUGGCGGAAUCUAUCAACAUCGGAGGAGAUAUUUAUCUACAUUCACAGAUUGAUGACUAGAAAUCAUUCACGAGAGCCUUCCACACGACAAAGAUGUCACGUAUCAUGUGUAUUGAGGACGGACAACUAUUGCAGAAAAUGAAAGUCUGUCGGUGUCAACUUUCAAUCCACGAGGAAGUGAGAGAGAAGGACUUACCCGGCCUCGUUGGGUCCAUGGAGUUGGGCAUCAUGCCUUGUGAAUUGGGGAUACCACCGGGUGGAGGCUGCAUAAACAUCAGGGCAUUGAUUCGGGAGAAGACUCACCCAACAGACAAAAGCGGAGGAAUUCUCCAGUUACAGAAGUGGGAGGACACAAAGAUUCCCCGGGGAGAACGCGAGAGAUGAAAUAUAAGCACUCGGCAAGGUGGGAGUAGACUGUAAAGGUCGCCGUCUUGACCUGUGUGGGUUGGCUCAGGUCGCGGCGUGGGAAGGUAAAGCAAAACAAGGCAUCCCUGCGCUGUCUCGCUUUGUAAACUUUUGAAGUGCUUUUCGCUACAAAUUUCAGUCCAGAUCCCCUCAAAUCACAAUAUGUUGCUUGAGACCUGCCCGUAUCAUGUUAUUUUUUUUUAAAGGGCAUUAAUGGCACAGGUAACGCAAUUUUUGUUUCUGAAUGAAGCAUUUCGAGCUUUGGACUUUUCUGCUGCUGACUGCUGUAUAUUAAAUUUUUUUUUUUUUUUUGAGAGGCGCUUG